rnacentral:sRNA from 2 species
GUUUGCACUCAUCGGGGAAGGGUGAGAACUUUCGACUAAGGUUCGAUUCGAGCGAAAGCGAGAGAACGUUGCCACAGGCAACGGCCCGAAGGGUGAGGAGCGAAGCGACGAAUAAUCCUUCCCCCACCACCA